GACGGAGGAUGCAAGCGUUGUCCGGAAUUAUUGGGCGUAAAGAGCUCGUAGGCGGUCUGUCGCGUCGGCUGUGAAAACCUGGGGCUCAACCCCAGGCCUGCAGUCGAUACGGGCAGACUAGAGUCCGGCAGGGGAGACUGGAAUUCCUGGUGUAGCGGUGAAAUGCGCAGAUAUCAGGAGGAACACCGAUGGCGAAGGCAGGUCUCUGGGCCGAUACUGACGCUGAGGAGCGAAAGCGUGGGGAGCGAACAGG
rnacentral:rRNA from 1 species